rnacentral:rRNA from 1 species
AUGGAGGCCACGGCGUUGAGCAUCGGCAAGUCUGUGCUGAAUGCAGCGCUUCGAUCCGCCAAGUCUCCCGUAGCAGAGGAGGUGGCCCUGCAGCUCGGGGUCCAGCGCGACAAGGCCUUCAUCACGGACGAGCUGGAGAUGAUGCAAUCUUUUCUGAUGGUGGCGCACGAUGAGCGAGAUGAGCACAACAAGGUGGUCAGGACCUGGGUGAAGCAGGUCCGCGACGUGUCCUACGACGUCGAGGAUGGCAUCCAGGACUUUGUCGUUCAUAUGAAGAAGCAGUCCUGGUGGCGCAUCCCUUGCACACUCCUCAACCGGCGCCAUGUUGCCAAGCAGAUGAAGGAGCUGAGGACCAAGGUCAAGGAUGUGAGCGAGAGGAACUUGCGCUACAGCCUCAUCAAGGGCUCUAGCUCCACUGAGCCUGCUGCUACAGCUGCUGCCACCAUGUUUGGUGUUGAAGAAGCAAGGCACGCCGCAAAGAAACACCAAUCAAGAUCGGAUCUUGCCCAACUGAUCAACCAGGAGGGUGGCAACCAAAUUGGAGUGAUCGGUGUAUGGGGAACAAAUGGCAGUGUUGGGCAUACCUCCAUCAUCUGGGAGGCCUACGAGAAUCCAAUCGUCAAAUUGAAUUUUCCGUGCCGAGCAUGGGUCAGGGUGAUGCGCCCUUUCAGUCCAACAGAAUUUGUCCAGAGUAUGGUGAAACAAUUUCAUGCAACAGUAGGAGUUGGUGUUCUGCUGGAGGGCGAAAGGAAGGGUCAAGAUUUGGCUCAAGCCUUCAAUGGAUAUGUCAAUGAGAAGAGGUGCCUGAUUGUGCUUACUGACCUGUCCACAAUUGAAGAAUGGCACCAGAUCAAGAUUUGCUUCCCAGAGAACAAACUAGGGAGCCAGAUCAUAGUAUCCACAAAACAUGUUGAAGUUGCAAGCCUGUGUCCAGGUCAACCAAGUACGGUGUCGGAGUUGAAGCAAUUGUCUGCUGAUCAGACCAUCUAUGCUUUCUACAAACAGAGUUCUCAUGACGUUACCUAUCCAUCAAAGCCAGCAUCUACCACAAAGUUAUCCAACAUCCCUGAGAAUGAGAUACAAGAAGAUCAAUCCAAUGCUGAUGUUGAGGGAAAUAUGACAGUGCAAAAGAGGUUCACACGCACCUACACAAUGGCAGGUGUUCUGGAGGAAUUUCAGCUUAUUGGGCGAGAGAAAGAAAAAUCUGAUAUUAUUGAACUAAUUGUAGAACAAGCUAGCACCCAUCAAUUUCAGGUGAUAGUAGUAUGGGGAAUGGGUGGUCUUGGAAAAACCACUCUGAUAAAAAAUGUUUUCGAGAGCAAAGAUGUCACUGCCAUGUUUGGGAAAUAUGCUUUUGUCACAGUCUUGCGACCUUUCAAGCUUGAGGAACUCCUUAGGAGCUUGGCAUUGCAACUAGAUGCAAACAAGGGAUCCAUGGACUUUGUAGGUGACACCCAAAAAAACAUUGCUUUGAUGGGAGUUGCAGAGUUGAUUGAAGUGUUGGGCAGACGUUCAGAAGGAAAGAGUUGUUUGAUUGUUCUUGAUGACCUGUCAUCUAGCACAGAAUGGGAUAAAAUGUUGCCAUGUUUACAUGCAAUGGAAAAUCUGGUCAUUGUGAUAACCACAAGGCGAGAGGAUAUUGCUAAGCAUUGUUGCAAAAAACCGAAGUGCAUACGCUUGCUCAAUGGUCUUGAAGAGAAGGAUGCAAGUCACCUGUUCACAAGAAAGGUAUUUAAGAAUAGGACUACUGAUUUGGCUGAGCAAUAUCCUGCAUUGGUUGAACCAGCAAAACUAAUCCUAAAGAAGUGCAAUGGACUUCCCCUUGCGAUCGUCACCAUAGGUGGCUUCUUGGCUGAUCAACCAACAAAAAUUGCUGCAGAGUGGAGAAAACUGGAUGAGCAUAUCAGUGUUGAGCUGGAGAUGAAUCCAAAGUUUGAGGUCAUAAAAACAGUUCUCAUGAAAAGUUAUGAUGGCCUACCCUAUUAUCUCAAGUCUUGUUUCUUGUACAUGUCCAUCUUCCCUGAAGACCGCAAUGUUAGCCGGAGACGUUUGGCUUACCGAUGGAUUGCUGAAGGUUAUGCACGAGACAAGGCCACAGCAGAUAGAUACUUCAUGGAACUCGUAGAGAGAAGCAUGAUAUUACCAACUCAGCAAUCAGCUUGCAGCAUACAAGGAUUUGACUCCUGCCAGCUACACGAUCUGAUUCGUGAUAUCAGCAUUGCAGAGUCGAUGGAGGAAAAUCUUGUUUUCAGGUUGGAGGAAGGCUGCAGCUUGAAUACCCAUGGUGCAGUGCGUCACCUUGCCAUAAGCAGCAACUGGGAGGGUGAUGAGCGCGAGUUGGAGAGCACCAUGGAGCUGUCCCGUAUACGAUCAUUGACAGUGUUUAGCAAGUGGAAGCCAUUUUACAUUUCUGAUAAGAUGAGGUUUCUCCGGGUGCUGGACCUGGAAGGAACAAAAGGGUUAAGAAGUCAUCACCUUGAGCACAUUGGGGAGCUUCUUCAUCUGAGAUACCUCUCUCUACGUGGGUCUAGUUUGGUCUGUUCCCUCCCAGAUUCGGUGGGUAAUCUGAGACAACUUGAGACACUAGACAUCAAGCAGACGGGUAUAGCUAUGUUGCCCAGAACCAUCAUCAAGCUUAGUAAGCUAUGUUAUCUCCAUGCUGGUAAAGAAUCAGGGGAUAACAAUGAGCUGAAUUAUUUUUCAAAGCAUCGAAAUAUCUAUGCAGUGCAAUAUGUAGUAUGCUGCUCAGAUGAGUUUUUUGAAGAUGAUCUUGAUAGAUGUGAUGUUUGCACUCUUGCUUGCUGCAUACUGUACCCUAAUAUCAUUAGGGGCAUAGCUUCUUCCGGUGUUAAGGUGCCAAGAGGGACUAGAAAACUGAAGGCCCUGCGUACAUUGCGGUAUGUGCACCUUGCCUGGGGAAAUGACGUUAUAAAAGAGAUAAAAGGCCUUACAAGCCUGCAGAAGCUAGGAGUGGUCGGCAUCAAUAAGAGAAAUGGUCCGGGUUUCUGUUCGGUCCUUUCUAGUCUCAGCCAUCUUGAAUCGUUGUCAGUGCGGUCAGGUGAUAGCUUAAAUGGCUGUUUGGAUGGCAUGUCCACAGCUCUGGAAAACCUGCAGAGCCUCAAGCUAUCCGGCAGCCUGGAAAAAUUGCCGGAAUGGAUCAAGGGGCUCCAAAAUCUCGUGAAGCUCAAGUUAGAACUCAGCAGGCUAUCAGGGAACCUUGAAGCCAUGCAAGUUCCUGGGAACCUACCAAACCUAUCCAUUCUGGGUUUGUCGGAUCACUGGCUUAAGAUCGAUGUACUCCAGUUCCAGACUGGCCUUUUCAGAAGGCUCACGGUGCUUGAUCUUUUCUACACAAGUAUGGAAAUUAAAUUAGUGAAGUUUGAGAAAGAAUCAGUGCCCAAUCUUGAGUUGCUGACCCUUAGCAUUGGAAAUACUGCGAUUGCCUUCUCUGGGCUAGAACUUCUCCAAAACAUCAAGGAAGUACGGCUUGGUGUUCAUUGUAGCUGGUUUACACCCAAAACAUCAAGAAAUGGGAAAAUUGAAAGAAUGAGUAAGAGAAUGCAUGAAUGGAUGAAAGAAGAAGAAAAGAAAUACAAACCCGUGCAAGAUAAAGUCAGGAAGGAGAUGCAGAUGCAGCUUGAUAGGAAUAAGAAUCGACCCAUCUUGAAGGUGCAAUGA